UUACGGCCAUGCCAUGCUGAAUAUACCGGUCCUCGUUAGAUCACCGAAGUUAAGCAUCAUUGGGCGCGGUCAGUACUUGGGUGGGUGACCUCCUGGGAACACCGCGUGCCGUU
rnacentral:rRNA from 1 species